rnacentral:rRNA from 1 species
CAAUAGCGUAUAUUAAAGUUGUUGCGGUUAAAAAGCUCGUAGUUGAAUUUCUGUUAAAUGAAGCCGUUUCGCCCUCUGGAUGUAAACAGGUUGCAUUUUUCAUUUGUUUGGAAUGUGUGGCGGCACCUAGUUGUGAGGCCUACAAGCCAGACUUUUACUUUGAGGAAAUUAGAGUGUUCACGGCAGGCGUUCGCCCUGAAUAUAUUAGCAUGGAAUAAUAAUAUAGGACCUCGGUUCUAUUUUGUUGGUUUCUAGAGCUGAGGUAAUGAUUAAUAGGGACAAUUGGGGGCAUUCGUAUUAACGCGUCAGAGGUGGAAUUCUUGGAUUGCGUUACGACGAACUACUGCGAAAGCAUUUGCCAAGGAUGUUUUCAUUGA